GUAGACCUGUGGAUUUCUAAUUCCAUCCCCGUCUUUUUUUUGACCUGUACUAACAGCACCAUGUGUUAUACAAGUUCAACUUCUUACCGUGGCCAGCACUGGCCUGAUUUCUUCUGCAGGCUCAUUUUAUGCUCAUUAUUUUACCAUGAGCUCUCUGCUCCAGGCUUCUGAACUUCCAUUAUUUCUCCAGAUCUAAUGCUGGGCCUUCAUACAUGGCUGUGAACAGUUCCCUUAGGAAGAGAAGCCCACCAGAAUCAUGGAAAGCAGAAUCUUCCAACAUAUUUGGAGAAGAAGAUCCGAGCAGAGCAAGGGGUGGGCUGUGGCAUAUAUAUGAUGGUGCAUUGGAUUGCUAACGCAACUGUGGUCUUGGGGUCAGGCUCCUUCUGUGUAUCCAUGGCAUCUGAGUUAUUACAUAUGGGGCACCUUUGCUUCUAAAAAUGGAACAGCUGGCAUUUUCUUUUCCAGUUGGUCAUUGGAAGCUCCUCUCUGUGGGGAUUAUAUUUGUGGCAGAUGCCUUCUUCUCAAGGUAACUUUCUACAAUAUGGAAGAGGAAGAUGAAGCCCAAACACAGCAGAGUGGUUCUGGUGAGCUGAAGAGACAGAGAUCAGAGCUUGGAGGUGCUGAAGAGGCUGGAGUUUGUGGGUCAGCAUGUCAGAGAGAUAGGAGGGAGCUACACAGCUAAAGAGCUCCAGAGAUAUGCAUACAGUCCACUUAAAUCUUUGAACAAAUACUAAUAUGUGCAUGCAAAGAAUGAGACCCCUACUGAGCACGGCAGAGAAGCUGUGAACUGAAUGGAGAUUCUGCAGGCCACACAAUGCUGGGGACAUAGGAGUUCCAACCAGCCAGGGAAAUCUUGGGGAACCACCAGUUUACUCAGUUGUACAGGAAGGACCUGGGACUCUUCCUACCUGCUGUGACAGCUGAGCUCCUCUUUAGCUGACGGCAUGCUGAGGCCUGUGCACUGCGGAGGUGUGGGGGCCAAGUUUAAACCCUGCUUCCUCUGCCUAUUUGCUGUGUGUGGUCCAACAUCAAUGACUGAACUUCUCUGCCCAAUUUGUUUAUCUGUAAAAGGGGAACUUUGAGACCUCCUAGAAUUUCUCACAGGUUAAAGGUGAGGUCUGAAUACUGCUGGCUCUAUGCCUAGUGCAUAGCUGGCCCUCAGGUCAUUGGUCACUUUUCCCUCUCAGAGGGGGUCACAGGCACUUGGGCCACCUCAAUGUGCCAUACUUGUCCUCGAUCUGCCAGGGUUCUGACCAGUGGAGACAUGUCUAAUGAUCACUGUCCUGUGGGAAGUAAGAAAGGGCUCCAUUUAUCUCUGCAAAUCCUCUGUCUCCCAGAGCAGGCCCAUCUGGGAAAGGACUGUGCCCUGAAUCUAAACUUUGGGACAUGGAUAUUGAUAGUUCCUUGAGGGAUAGAAGUGGGCGUGAAGAACAAACUUCAGGGCAUGGAUAUUGAUGGUUCCUUGAGGGAUAUAAGUGGGCGUGAAGAACAAACUUUGGGACAUGGAUAUUGAUAGUUCCUUGAGGGAUACAAGUGGGCGUGAAGAACAAACUUUGGGGCAUGGAUAUUGAUAGUUCCUUGACGGAUACAAGUGGGCGUGAAGAACAGACGAUGAAACUGUUCACUUACCCAGAUGCGUGGACCCAACUCUAGGUCUGCUGCACAGACCCAGAACCACCCCAGAUUUUGCUCAGGAUGACUUACCAUAUGGGAAUAAGAGCAGGAAAUUUUACUUCAUGGCUUGAGUGAAAUAAAAGAGGAAGCAGCCACCCUUAUUCAUGCUUUUAAGACAUAGUUAUCUUGUUCACCAUUAAAAUGUAUCUCAAUGAAUGACUUGCUCAGGUGGAUUGGAUUAACCACUUGGUAAGGUGCAAGCAAGGUGACACUGUUUUAGGAGGUUUCUCAUCGGAUCUCUCACAUUAAGAUCUAUGUGCCAG
rnacentral:lncRNA from 1 species